AGAGUUUGAUCCUGGCUCAGGAUGAACGCUAGCUACAGGCUUAACACAUGCAAGUCGAGGGGAAACGACAUCGAAAGCUUGCUUUUGAUGGGCGUCGACCGGCGCACGGGUGAGUAACGCGUAUCCAACCUGCCCACCACUUGGGGAUAACCUUGCGAAAGUAAGACUAAUACCCAAUGAUAUCUCUAGAAGACAUCUGAAAGAGAUUAAAGAUUUAUCGGUGAUGGAUGGGGAUGCGUCUGAUUAGCUUGUUGGCGGGGUAACGGCCCACCAAGGCGACGAUCAGUAGGGGUUCUGAGAGGAAGGUCCCCCACAUUGGAACUGAGACACGGUCCAAACUCCUACGGGAGGCAGCAGUGAGGAAUAUUGGUCAAUGGACGAGAGUCUGAACCAGCCAAGUAGCGUGCAGGAUGACGGCCCUAUGGGUUGUAAACUGCUUUUAUAAGGGAAUAAAGUGAGUCUCGUGAGACUUUUUGCAUGUACCUUAUGAAUAAGGACCGGCUAAUUCCGUGCCAGCAGCCGCGGUAAUACGGAAGGUCCGGGCGUUAUCCGGAUUUAUUGGGUUUAAAGGGAGCGUAGGCCGGAGAUUAAGCGUGUUGUGAAAUGUAGACGCUCAACGUCUGCACUGCAGCGCGAACUGGUUUCCUUGAGUACGCACAAAGUGGGCGGAAUUCGUGGUGUAGCGGUGAAAUGCUUAGAUAUCACGAAGAACUCCGAUUGCGAAGGCAGCUCACUGGAGCGCAACUGACGCUGAAGCUCGAAAGUGCGGGUAUCGAACAGGAUUAGAUACCCUGGUAGUCCGCACGGUAAACGAUGGAUGCCCGCUGUUGGUCUGAAUAGGUCAGCGGCCAAGCGAAAGCAUUAAGCAUCCCACCUGGGGAGUACGCCGGCAACGGUGAAACUCAAAGGAAUUGACGG
rnacentral:rRNA from 1 species